CCAAUUUUAUCUUUUUCACUUAAAUUCCUCCAUCUUCUCACGUUCAUUAUUACCUUAUACACUCAAGAGUAUAACAACAUAAAAAAAGAAACCAGUUCCAUUAAACAUCAAAGAUCGCUAAUUCUCUGCGAUCCAAUGCUUACAACAUCACAAUCAACUAAUCCGUAAUAACUACAACACAAACCCAAGUCACACACAUCCACUGAGAAAUAAAGAGG
rnacentral:lncRNA from 1 species